AGGGGGUGAAGGGGAGAUGGAGAAAGAGGGGUCGGGGUGGUUGCGUGGUCGGUGCUUGUGAGGAAGAGGGGUGACAGUGAAUUUGCAAGGGGAAGGUUGACAGCGGCUAGGGUUAAGGGUUGAAAAUUUAGGGAAGAUGAAAGUAAAAAGAAGUUAGGGUUUGGGGGUUAAAAAGGGGGAUACGGUGGUGUAAGGGCCCGUGUUGGGCCACAC
rnacentral:lncRNA from 1 species